rnacentral:tRNA from 1 species
GGGUCGUCUAGCGGUAGGACGCCUGCCUUUGGAGCAGGAAAUCGAUGGUUCGAAUCCAU